rnacentral:misc_RNA from 1 species
CGGAGACACGGUGCCGGAUAACGUCCGGCGGGGGCGACCCCAGGGAAAGUGCCACAGAAAGCAAACCGCUCCGCCUGCGGAGUAAGGGUGAAAGGGUGGGGUAAGAGCCCACCGCGGACAUGGCGACAUGGACGGCACGGCAAACCCCACCGGGAGCAAGACCGAAUAGGGAUGACACGGGCGCGCGAGCGCCCAGCCGGUUUCCAGGCCCGUCAUCCGGGUGGGUUGCACGAGGCUGUGCGCAAGCGCAGUCCCAGAUGAAUGGCUGCCACGUUUCGCCUCUUCGGAGGUGGAGC